CAUGGGAUUGCCGAAGAGCGCAACUGGGGGCUCCGGGGCUCGCCGGAUUCAUUCAUGUGCCAAAAGGUCGGCAACCCGGCCGGUACCAAGGGAAAAUAACACUCGAGCAUCCUGGCACUACAGUGAACGUAUCACGGUCAGCACAUGGGAAGUUUCACUGAGAUCCAAGCUCUCUUGGAACCGUACCAACACCUCUCCUCUGCUUCAGGGGCAGUGUCACAAAACACAAGGCCAUCCUGCUGCCCCAAAAAUACUGACUCCAGCCUGAGGGCAAACUGUGGAGAGCUAACUGAUGGCAAAGACUGGUCUCUGACAUUGAUACAUUCAGUAUAAAACAAUAUAAAUCAGUACAGUGGUAACCAAGGGUACUGUCAUUAGUUUUUGUUUUUUGAAUCAGAUACAGUAUGAAUGGGCUGACCACAAUUACAUUUUUGUCCUCUUAUCCAUAUAUGGAUUGUUUGUAUGUUGCACUGGUCAGACUGCCAAUCAUUGCCAUCAUUCAACAGAGCAAGAAAAAAUACAUCAAAAAAUAACUAAUGUUUCUGAGUUCUUUUUGACUGCCGCCUGUGAUAUUGUUUUAGCGUAGUUAUCUUCCUUUUUGAAAGAAAGGCCUGUGUUUUCUUCAGGCACAUUCCUUUCAUCCUCAUGUGGCAUCAUUAGUUCCAUAGAUGUCCCUGGUGUAAAUGCAGCGAGAGGAAGACUGAGUUCAAGUGCGAAAGAGAGAGACCUUGUUGUCACUGUCCCAUAGCUACUUACUUUCGAUUGAAGGACUGUGCUGUACAUUCAUUUUUUGAAGUGUUAAUGCAAUGUUGCAUUACAAAAUGACGAUGACACCACAGCUCUCCUUUUUUUUUUUUUUUCUUUAAGCAGUUUGCACUCAUAACCAAUAAUACUGUUUCAAUGCAAUACAAUUUUCAUGGGAAUUAAGACCUUUGUGACAUAAAUA